rnacentral:rRNA from 1 species
UACGUAGGGUGCGAGCGUUAAUCGGAAUUACUGGGCGUAAAGCGUGCGCAGGUGGUUGUGUAAGUCAGAUGUGAAAUCCCCGGGCUCAACCUGGGAACUGCAUUUGAGACUGCACGGCUAGAGGAUGGCAGAGGGGGAUAGAAUUCCACGUGUAGCAGUGAAAUGCGUAGAGAUGUGGAGGAAUACCGAUGGCGAAGGCAGCCCCCUGGGCUAUUUCUGACACUCAUGCACGAAAGCGUGGGGAGCAAACAGGAUUAGAAACCCUAGUAGU